rnacentral:rRNA from 1 species
UGGGGAAUAUUGCACAAUGGGCGCAAGCCUGAUGCAGCCAUGCCGCGUGUAUGAAGAAGGCCCUAGGGUUGUAAAGUACUUUCAGUCGGGAGGAAGGCGUUGAUGCUAAUAUCAUCAGCGAUUGACGUUACCGACAGAAGAAGCACCGGCUAACUCCGUGCCAGCAGCCGCGGUAAUACGGAGGGUGCAAGCGUUAAUCGGAAUUACUGGGCGUAAAGCGCACGCAGGCGGUUGAUUAAGUUAGAUGUGAAAUCCCGGCUAG